UACGAGGGGGGCGAGCGUUGUUCGGAAUUAUUGGGCGUAAAGGGUGCGUAGGCGGUUUGGUAAGUCUGAUGUGAAAUCUAUGGGCUCAACUCAUAGUCUGCAUCGGAAACUGCCGGGCUUGAGUAUGGGAGAGGUGAGUGGAAUUCCUGGUGUAGCGGUGAAAUGCGUAGAGAUCCGGAGGAACACCGACGGCGCAGGCAGCGUCCUGGCCGCUUGCUGACACUGAGGCACGAAAGCUGGGGGAGCAAACAGG
rnacentral:rRNA from 1 species